rnacentral:rRNA from 1 species
UACGUAGGGGGCAAGCGUUGUCCGGAAUCAUUGGGCGUAAAGAGCGUGUAGGCGGCCCGGUAAGUCCGCUGUGAAAGUCCAGGGCUCAACCCUGGAAUGCCGGUGGAAACUGUCGGGCUAGAGUUCGGAAGAGGCGAGUGGAAUUCCUGGUGUAGCGGUGAAAUGCGCAGAUAUCAGGAGGAACACCAAUGGCGAAGGCAGCUCGCUGGGACGGUACUGACGCUGAGACGCGAAAGCGUGGGGAGCAAACAGG